rnacentral:rRNA from 1 species
AACGAACGCUGGCGGCAGGCCUAACACAUGCAAGUCGAGCGAGGACUUCGGUCCUAGCGGCGGACGGGUGCGUAACGCGUGGGAACGUGCCCUUUGCUUCGGAAUAGCCCUGGGAAACUGGGAGUAAUACCGGAUGAGCCCUUUGGGGGAAAGAUUUAUCGGCGAAGGAUCGGCCCGCGUUGGAUUAGGUAGUUGGUGGGGUAAUGGCCUACCAAGCCGACGAUCCAUAGCUGGUUUGAGAGGAUGAUCAGCCACACUGGGACUGAGACACGGCCCAGACUCCUACGGGAGGCAGCAGUGGGGAAUCUUAGACAAUGGGGGAAACCCUGAUCGAGCCAUGCCGCGUGAGCGAUGAAGGCCUUAGGGUUGUAAAGCUCUUUCAGCUGGGAAGAUAAUGACGGUACCAGCAGAAGAAGCCCCGGCUAACUCCGUG